AACAGGGAUUGCCUCAGUAACGGCGAGUGAAGCGGCAACAGCUCAAAUUUGAAAUCUGGCCUCUUUGGGGUCCGAGUUGUAAUUUGUAGAGGAUGUUUCGGGUACCGCUCCGGUUUAAAUUUCUUGGAACAGAAUGUCAUAGAGGGUGAGAAUCCCGUCUUGGACCGGUGGUAGGGCCCAUGUGAAACUCCUUCGACGAGUCGAGUUGUUUGGGAAUGCAGCUCAAAAUGGGUGGUAAAUUUCAUCUAAAGCUAAAUAUUGGCCAGAGACCGAUAGCGCACAAGUAGAGUGAUCGAAAGAUGAAAAGCACUUUGAAAAGAGAGUUAAACAGUAUGUGAAAUUGUUGAAAGGGAAGCGCUUACAACCAGACUUGAGCGCGACGGUUCCCCCUUCCUUUUGGUUGGGCUACUCCGUCGUGUCCAGGCCAACAUCGGUUUUGGGGGUCGGUUAAAGACGCCGGGAAUGUACCUACCCUUCGGGCGUAGACUUAUAGCCCGGCGUGUCAUGCGACCUCCCGGGACCGAGGAACGCGCUUCGGCUCGGAUGUUGGCGUAAUGGUUGUCAGCGACCCGUCUUGAAACACGGACCAAGGAGUCUAACAUCUAUGCGAGUGUUUGGGUGUCAAACCCGGAACGCGAAAUGAAAGUGAACGGAGGUAGGAAGCCUUGAGGCUGCACUAUCGACCGAUCCUGAUGUCUUCGGAUGGAUUUGAGUAAGAGCAUAGCUGUUGGGACCCGAAAGAUGGUGAACUAUGCCUGAAUAGGGUGAAGCCAGAGGAAACUCUGGUGGAGGCUCGCAGCGGUUCUGACGUGCAAAUCGAUCGUCAAAUUUGGGUAUAGGGGCGAAAGACUAAUCGAACCAUCUGGUAGCUGGUUCCUGCCGAAGUUUCCC
rnacentral:rRNA from 1 species